UACGUAGGGUGCAAGCGUUGUCCGGAAUUAUUGGGCGUAAAGAGCUCGUAGGCGGUUUGUCGCGUCUGCUGUGAAAACCCGAGGCUCAACCUCGGGCCUGCAGUGGGUACGGGCAGACUAGAGUGCGGUAGGGGAGAUUGGAAUUCCUGGUGUAGCGGUGGAAUGCGCAGAUAUCAGGAGGAACACCGAUGGCGAAGGCAGAUCUCUGGGCAUUAACUGACGCUGAGGAGCGAAAGCAUGGGGAGCGAACAGG
rnacentral:rRNA from 1 species